AGGGGAGUGGCUCAAUUGGCAGAGUGGCGGUCUCCAAAACCGUUGGUUGCAGGUUCGAAUCCUGUCUCCCCUGCCA
rnacentral:tRNA from 1 species